UAGGGAAUCUUCGGCAAUGGACGGAAGUCUGACCGAGCAACGCCGCGUGAGUGAAGAAGGUUUUCGGAUCGUAAAGCUCUGUUGUAAGAGAAGAACGAGUGUGAGAGUGGAAAAUUCACACUGUGACGGUAUCUUACCAGAAAGGGACGGCUAACUACGUGCCAGCAGCCGCGGUAAUACGUAGGUCCCGAGCGUUGUCCGGAUUUAUUGGGCGUAAAGCGAGCGCAGGCGGUUAGAUAAGUCUGAAGUUAAAGGCUGUGGCUUAACCAUAGUACGCUUUGGAAACUGUUUAACUUGAGUGCAAGAGGGGAGAGUGGAAUUCCAUGUGUAGCGGUGAAAUGCGUAGAUAUAUGGAGGAACACCGGUGGCGAAAGCGGCUCUCUGGCUUGUAACUGACGCUGAGGCUCGAAAGCGUGGGGAGCAAACAGGAUUAGAUACCCUGGUAGUCCACGCCGUAAACGAUGAGUGCUAGGUGUUAGACCCUUUCCGGGGUUUAGUGCCGCAGCUAACGCAUUAAGCACUCCGCCUGGGGAGUACGACCGCAAGGUUG
rnacentral:rRNA from 1 species